GAAUGGCCCUCAGGUGCCAGAGGGCUGUGGCUGAUAGACCUACAAAGCAGCCAGAGGGGCUGGCGGGUACUGAGGCCCAGUGGGAGUAGAUAAAGCCGCAUCCACUGGACAAUGGGCAGUGAGGAGAGAUGGGGCUGAUCCAGGCCUGCCUCAAGGUCACUGCCUGACCUCUCAAGGGGAAAAAGCAGCUUCAGGAGGGGCUCCACCCAAGCUCCCCAGGGUCUGGUCAACCAGCUGGAGGUGGGUGAGGGACCAAGCCAGUCCCACUUUCCCCCAAGGCAGAGAGCUCAGGCCUCUUCGCUGCGGGUCCACCCUGCCAACUAGGGAGGUCCCCGUCCUCCCGGCCUCCUUGCGGGAGGGGGCAGGCUGGUCAGCGCAGCUCUAGGAGCUGUGGAAAAUAUUCACUGGGACAGUCUUGGAUCAAGAGGGAGUUUUGAGGUGGAGGCUCAUUCUGGCAGGGACAGUAGUGUCUACCAGCCCUAGAAACAUGGGCUUAUGGCCACAGGAGUUCAGUGGAGCAAGAGCAGGGGAGGAGAGACGUGGACAGGUGCCCAAAGCCAGUCGGAGGGC
rnacentral:lncRNA from 1 species